rnacentral:rRNA from 1 species
UACGAGGGGGGCAAGCGUUAUUCAAUUUAACUGGGCGUAAAGCGUCUGUAGGCGGCAAGUUUCGUUAUUCGGUAAACAUGAAAGUUGGACUUUCAGAGACGGGUAAAACGUACUUUGCUAGAGUCAUAGAGAGGAUCGUAGAAUUUCUGAAGUAGGGAUGGAAUCCUGUCACAUCAGAAGGAAUACCAAAGGCGAAGGCAACGAU